rnacentral:rRNA from 1 species
AGCAUAUCAAUAAGCGGAGGAAAAGAAACCAACAGGGAUUGCCCCAGUAACGGCGAGUGAAGCGGCAACAGCUCAAAUUUGAAAUCUGGCCCCUAGGGUCCGAGUUGUAAUUUGUAGAGGAUGCUUUUGGUGAGGUGCCGCCCGAGUUCCCUGGAACGGGACGCCGCAGAGGGUGAGAGCCCCGUCUGGCUGGCCACCGAGCCUAUGUAAAGCUCCUUCGACGAGUCGAGUAGUUUGGGAAUGCUGCUCAAAAUGGGAGGUAUAUGUCUUCUAAAGCUAAAUAUUGGCCAGAGACCGAUAGCGCACAAGUAGAGUGAUCGAAAGAUGAAAAGCACCUUGAAAAGAGGGUUAAACAGUACGUGAAAUUGUUGAAAGGGAAGCGCUUGUGACCAGACUUGGGCGCGGCGGAUCAUCCGGGGUUCUCCCCGGUGCACUUCGCCGCGUUCAGGCCAGCAUCAGUUCGGCGCGGGGGAAAAAGGCUUCGGGAACGUGGCUCCUCCGGGAGUGUUAUAGCCCGUUGCAUAAUACCCUGCGCUGGACUGAGGACCGCGCAUCUGCAAGGAUGCUGGCGUAAUGGUCACCAGCGACCCGUCUGAAACA